GGAGAGAGACGGACACGACGUACCACCCGAUCGAAGAUAGCCUCACCGAUAUAUUGGCCAUAGGCACGUCUGUCCCACCCCCGCACAUUUCUGUUGUAGGGGCCUGUUUGCAAAAGAGAAAUGGCAAAAAAUGGGAUACUGAAAACUAGAGAAACAUAGGAAUGGAGAUUUUAUGCUGUUUGGAACUCAGGAAUUGCACCAUGCUGUCAUGUCCCAAAACAAACAAAUUAAAACAUUUUCAUUUGAACACAAUGUGUUUAUCAAUUUGUUAUUUUGACGGAUGAUUUUGGUGCUUAUUUAUCGGUCAUUUGGCACUUUCUUAUUUCAUAUUCCCGUUUCAAAUUAUAGGUUAUUUUGACUUUUCUAGAUUCAUAAUAUUUAUUAUGUAUCUAGACAGAAGCAUAUAUCUAGGUGCAUAGUUAAAAGUCAAAACGACCUAUAUAAAUUGGGACAUAAGGAAUAAUUAUGUCUACUCACCUUAUACCGGUGCAUAUAUAGCAGGAGCCCACAAUAUAAUUAUCUUCCCUCUUCCAAACUCCCACGACCAGCGCCUUUAUAUCACGUCAUCUUCUUCGACAUCCGUCCCUCUUCUGAGGCCGUCCAUUCCAUCCCCCUCUCUGUCGUAAAAAAACACUAUGGCCAAAUCAUCAGCAUCCGGCCAUAUUUUUUAUAGCUGGUGGCUAAUCAUCUGCUCUCCACCCUCUCUACUGUAUCCAUUCACUGGAUGGCAGCAUACUUGCCCAAAUCGAAAAUCGAAAGCUACAAGAUGGG
rnacentral:lncRNA from 1 species